UACGGGAAGGCAGCAGUGGGGAAUAUUGCACAAUGGGCGAAAGCCUGAUGCAGCUAUGCCGCGUGUAUGAAGAAGGCCUUAGGGUUGUAAAGUACUUUCAUCGGGGAGGAAAAAACAAAACUAAUAAUUUUAUUUCUUGACGUUACCCGAAAAAGAAGCACCGGCUAACUCCGUGCCAGCAGCCGCGGUAAUACGGAGGGUGCUAGCGUUAAUCAGAAUUACUGGGCGUAAAGAGCACGUAGGUGGUUUUUUAAGUCAGAUGUGAAAUCCCUGGGCUUAACCUAGGAACUGCAUUUUGAAACUGAAAUACUAGAGUAUCGUAGAGGGAGGUAGAAUUCUAGGUGUAGCGGUGAAAUGCGUAGAUAUCUGGAGGAAUACCUGUGGCGAAAGCGGCCUCCUAAACGAAUACUGACACUGAGGUGCGAAAGCGUGGGGAGCAAACAGGGAUUAGAUACC
rnacentral:rRNA from 1 species